rnacentral:rRNA from 1 species
AUUGAACGCUGGCGGCAUGCCCUACACAUGCAAGUCGAACGGUAACGGGCCUUCGGGUGCCGACGAGUGGCGAACGGGUGAGUAAUACAUCGGAACGUGCCCGAUCGUGGGGGAUAACGAGGCGAAGGCUUUGCUAAUACCGCAUACGAUCUACGGAUGAAAGCAGGGGACCGCAAGGCCUUGCGCGGACGGAGCGGCCGAUGGCAGAUUAGGUAGUUGGUGGGAUAAAAGCUUACCAAGCCGACGAUCUGUAGCUGGUCUGAGAGGAUGAUCAGCCACACUGGGACUGAGACACGGCCCAGACUCCUACGGGAGGCAGCAGUGGGGAAUUUUGGACAAUGGGCGCAAGCCUGAUCCAGCCAUGCCGCGUGCAGGAUGAAGGCCUUCGGGUUGUAAACUGCUUUUGUACGGAACGAAAAGCCUUCUUUUAAUACAGGAGGGUCAUGACGGUACCGUAAGAAUAAGCACCGGCUAACUACGUG